AACCCAUCAAAGAUGGAACCCAGAAAAACCAAGGAGCCGAGAAGAGUGAUCCACUGCUCGGACGGAACUCUGGAAGAAUAUUCCUCCGGUGAUGAAAGUGAUGGUCAGAAGGCAAAGGUAGAACUACCAGUCGUCGAUCCUGUAGAACGCUACUGCAUAUGGACUUAAAUUAAAAUACAUCGACACAACAUGAACGUUUUAAUGGUGAGAAUUGAAAAAUCAAGUUAACAUUACAAUGAAGAAAUAAAAAUAAAAAGGAAAAAUGAAGGUCAUAUAAUGGCUGACUUAACGUUCCUACAGUAUUUGAUACUCUGUAAUCUACAUUAAGCAAAGCUGGUUGAAGAGAAUGUAAACUAAUUCUUUACCAUUUUUUUCCUUUAAAUCAAAUGAGAAAUUAUGCAGUUACAAAGAAAAUGUAUUUUAUUUUCCCUAUUUGGUAAGAUGAGAAAUUAUACUAUCGACUCACAUCUCAAUCGAAUUCAAAAGAAUACCUGAAUUAUUUUUGUAAUUUUCAAACGAUUAUUUCAUGAGACAACGUACCAUACUUAUAAUUUGUAGUGGUUUUUUCUUUAAAUUAUAUCUUUGAAUUCCAAACAUUUCAGUCAAAAUAUUCGACAGAUUAAAUAAUUUUUUAAUCAUUGGAAAAUUCUUAAUGCCACAUCUCUAUAUGUUGGUGCUGUAAACUUCAACAAUUCUUAUUACUUUUCAAUUGCUUUAGGUGUUGUGAUUCACCAGAUUUGAAUGAGAUAUCCCUAAAAGUUACUGCAACAGAAUUAUUGUUGAACCUGAAAUAUACCGAUGAACCAUUCAACUUUGACUAGUAUAACGAAGGUGUUUUGUGCCUGAUGCUUGACAUCUGAUUGGUUCAAUCCUGAGUUAAAAUUUCCCAAUCUGAAGUGAUUUAUUAAUAGCGAGUGUCUAUCCUUCAAAUGAGAAGUUUUUAAUAGCGACCACUAAAACAAAACAUGAGAUUUUCGAUAUACAGAAGCUUACUUUUUGUGAAAUAUCAGAUAAUUAUUCUGAUAAAGCUGAAGUUUUAAGCUAAUUUGAAGUUCUAACAAAAUUUUUCUUUUUUCUCUUAUUUUUUGCUA